GGCGCGCAAUUACCCAAUCCUGACACAGGGAGGUAGUGACAAGAAAUAACAAUACCGGGCCUUUUCAGGUCUGGUAAUUGGAAUGAGUACAAUUUAAAUCCCUUAACGAGGAUCCACUGGAGGGCAAGUCUGGUGCCAGCAGCCGCGGUAAUUCCAGCUCCAGAAGCGUAUAUUAAAGUUGUUGCAGUUAAAAAGCUCGUAGUUGGAUUUCUGGCUGGCCGCGCUGGCCCGCCUCCUUUCGGGGGUGAGUGCCGGCGCGUGCCUUUCAUCCUUCCAGAUUGUCGCGUGUACCGUUUACUCGGCCGCGCGCGUACGGUCUGGAUCAUUUACUGUGAAAAAAUUAGAGUGUUUAAAGCAGGCUUAUGCCUUGAAUACAUUAGCAUGGAAUAAUAAAAUAGGACUUUGGUUCUAUUUUGUUGGUUUCUAGAACUGAAGUAAUGAUUGAUAGGGACAGUUGGGGGUGCUAGUAUUCAGCGGCCAGAGGUGAAAUUCUUGGAUUCGCUGAAGACUAACUACUGCGAAAGCAUUUGCCAAGGAUGUUUUCAUUAAUCAGGAACGAAAGUUAGGGGAUCGAAGACGAUCAGAUACCGUCGUAGUCUUAACCAUAAACUAUGCCGACUAGGGAUCGGACGAUGUUAUUUUUUGACUCGUUCGGCACCUUACGAGAAAUCAAAGUG
rnacentral:rRNA from 1 species